GACGAACGCUGGCGGCGUGCUUAACACAUGCAAGUCGAACGGUGAAGCGCCUUCCUUUUUGGUGGGUGUGGAUGAGUGACGAACGGGUGAGUAACACGUGAGUAACCUGCCCCCUUCUUCUGGAUAACCGCAUGAAAGUGUGGCUAAUACGGGAUAUUCUGGGUCUGUCGCAUGAUGGGUCUGGGAAAGAUAUUGUUUCGGUGGGGGAUGGGCUCGCGGCCUAUCAGCUUGUUGGUGGGGUGAUGGCCUACCAAGGCGGUGACGGGUAGCCGGCCUGAGAGGGUGGACGGUCACACUGGGACUGAGACACGGCCCAGACUCCUACGGGAGGCAGCAGUGGGGAAUAUUGCACAAUGGGCGCAAGCCUGAUGCAGCGACGCCGCGUGAGGGAUGGAGGCCUUCGGGUUGUGAACCUCUUUCGCCAGUGAAGCAGGCCUGCCUCGUUUGUGGGUGGGUUGACGGUAGCUGGAUAAGAAGCGCCGGCUAACUACGUG
rnacentral:rRNA from 1 species